UAAUAAGUGUUUUGUGGCACUUUUUAAAUCCAUAUCCACCUUGUGUGCAAUGUCAGUCGAUCUUCUUCAUGGAGAUCGACCAAACAUCAACCUUUAUUUUUUAACUCUUUGUCUGAAAAAUAUUAUGAAUAUACAAUUCAAAAUA
rnacentral:misc_RNA from 1 species